GGUUAUGCUACAUUAUUGGCAAUGUCUGGCUCAAUGUAUAGUGAUAGGUGUUAUGCUGUACCACCGUCAAUGUCUGCCUCAGUAUAUAGUGAUAGGUGUUAUGCUGUACCCCAGUCAAUGUGUGCCUCAGUAUAUAGUGAUAGGUGUUAUGCUGUACCCCAGUCAAUGUGUGCCUCAGUAUAUAGUGAUAUGCUGUACCCCAGUCAAUGUGUGCCUCAGUAUAUAGUGAUAGGUGUUAUGCUGUA